rnacentral:lncRNA from 1 species
GCAUCACAGAAUCCAAGACAGCUGUUGCUUUAAUGGCAGAACGUGCAAAAUGACUGUUGGCCUCAACCACCCUUGCAAAAGUGGUCUUAUAAGCCUAAGUGCAACACAGCCAUUGUGAGGGAGCAAUGAUUCUGUAACAGUGCUUGUGGACUCUUCAGACCCAAGAAGACUUCAAAAGGAAGACUAGACUUAUCUAAUUUUGCUUCGGUUUAAUUGUUCCAGACAGCUAUUUUCUGUUAAUUCUGAUGCCUGUUGAUUGUUUCAAAACUCAUCACAUGAUUGCUAGCUGGAAGGACUCUUGGCUUCAAGUAACAGAACGUCCUUCAUCAGGGACAACAAGAUGGAGCUGUGGCCCUUGUACACAAAGGUAACAAUAUUUGGAAGACUACCAACUCUACAACAAACAGCAUGGGACAAUUCUCAGAUGGAGGUGGAAAGACCAGCCAGACUCAAGCAACAAAAUCCUACAGAAAGACUGUGUAGGCAGUUGCAAAACUGAGAGUUCAAUAAGGCAGUAAAUUAUACUUCUCCACAUCAGGUGAUGGAUUUUGAUUCUUUCACUUUUAUCAGAUUAUGCUGAGUACAUGAGAAAAUAAAGGCAGAAAGGAUGUUUCUUGUCUCA